rnacentral:rRNA from 1 species
CUUACCAUGCAAGUCGAACGGUAGCAGGCCUUCGGGCGCUGACGAGUGGCGGACGGGUGAGUAACGCGUAGGAAUCUGCCUCAUAGUGGGGGACAACGUGGGGAAACUCACGCUAAUACCGCAUACGCCCUACGGGGGAAAGCGGGGGAUCUUCGGACCUCGCGCUAUGAGAUGAGCCUGCGUUAGAUUAGCUAGUUGGUAGGGUAAAGGCCUACCGAGGCGACGAUCUAUAGCUGGUCUGAGAGGACGAUCAGCCACACUGGGACUGAGACACGGCCCAGACUCCUACGGGAGGCAGCAGUGGGGAAUAUUGGACAAUGGGCGAAAGCCUGAUCCAGCAAUGCCGCGUGUGUGAAGAAGGCCUGCGGGUUGUAAAGCACUUUCGGUUGGGAAGAAAAGCUGAUAGCUAAUAUCUAUCAGUAUUGACGUUACCAAAAUAAGAAGCACCGGCUAACUCUGUGCCAGCAGCCGCGGUAAUACAGAUGGUGCAAGCGUUAAUCGGAAUUACUGGGCGUAAAAGCGUGCGUAGGCGGCUCAAGUCAGUCAGAUGUGAUAGCCCUGGGCUUA